UUGGGGUAUUUUUCCCCCUUCCCCUCCCCCGGACUUCAGCAGAAUCGCUAACAGGAAUGAGAGGGAAAUCGGGCAGAGCAAUCAUGCAGAGAGGCGUCGGCAGACUCCGGGGAAGGAUCUUUCUAACGGUCCUCCCUCCCCCCUUCCAACCCACCUGGACGGUAGUAGCUCAGUGGUGGAGCACCUGCCUUGCAUGCAGAAGGUCCUGGGUUCAAUCCCCAGCAGCAUCUCCAGCUGUUCCUUUGGAACCACAAGGACUAGAAUCUUACUUUGAGGGGCCACAGCUCGGUGGUACAGAGCCCAUGCUUUGCACACACAGGUCCCGGGUUCAAUUACCAGCAUCUCCAGGAAUGGAAAAUGGAAAUGGACUGCCUUCAAGUCGAUCCCAACUUAUGGUGACCCUAUGAAUAGGGAUUUCAUGGAGGAAACCUUCCACGAGGGCCACCGCCUGGGAACCGGUCUCCGCUCCACAUUCCCUCACCCAGCUCUCCACCUCUGUGGGAAGGACAGCCAGAAACUGCUCCAGGGUCACCAAGUCCAGGAUCUGAGUCUUCGUGUGUCGCUCUGGCUUCAGCCACUCACGGUAAAGACGGUGAAGUUGGCUGCAAACUUCUCGAGGGCCCUCCGCCUCCCAAUAUGAGAAUUCCCGGAAUCGUUGACGCUGUACGUCUGAGCUGGCCGUUUCCACAUCUGCUUCAUCUGCACUGAUCUUUCCUAGAAUGCCCUACUGCAGCCACCCUCAAUUGCACCAAAUCCUCAUCCUGAGUCUCCCUCUUCCCUCUGCACUCCAAGGCAGCUUCCAAGAUCACCGGAAGAUCCUUGUGUUCUGCCAGCUUCUCUUAAGACCAGCGACUGUACAUACAGGAAGGGUUUCAAGACCCUGCAAAGCCAAGACACUGUUCUGCGAAGAAAAGCAUUACACGCUUGAAGCAUGAAGAUAUUUACAUGCAAGACUGGAGCGUUCUAGCCCAACUAUCGUCAACCUGGUGCCCUCCAGAAGUUUUGGACCACAGCUCCCAUCACCUCCGGUGAGCAUGAGACUGUUCCAACUCGUAGUAUUUCCAGACUGUCGCUAUUUUAUAGGUUGGAUUCAGUCAGAGAUUCAGGCUGCACAAUUAAAGGUGGUUUGGCACUCUUGCACAACAAACCCACUCCUCAUCCCAACCCCAAAUUGCACUUUUUGGGAUAAAGGAUGGGAAAACGCACUGGAAAGUGUAGAAUAAUGCUUGCUUGACGUGAUGCUGUAUAAUCUCCCAACAAACAAAUCAGAACGAGUGUUCAAGGAAUAGCUGCUGCCAUCUAGCUUCCCUUCAAACUUUGUGCAAGGAAAUCAGGCUGCACACUCAAUAAACAGGUUGACCUGGCAUUCUCCCUGCAGGGAAAGCAGAUGAACUGCAAGCUGAAAGGGGAUCAAACCCUGCAGUGGGUUAAAGGUUGGAGAACACACCAGCCUGGGCAUUGCUCUGCCCCUAACACCCCCCUUCUGUCUCCCCCCCAUCCCUUCUCUUGAUUCCCCCUCACCCAACACCUGCCUCCUCCAAAGCCUCCAGCCAGAUCUCCUUCAGCCUGCUCCGUAUAAAUGCAAACCAGUUUGAAACCAGUUUCACUCUACCCGGAUUCACACAGGGCACAGAGGUCUUGAGUUCUCCCGGGAAGAGGAAUGCCACGGAGGGACUUCCAGGCUCUGCAGUGAGGAGAUGGGAAGGAAGAAGCUUCCAGGGGUGGGUGCUGGGAGAGGAAGGUCCCACGUUCAACCCCAGCAUCUCCAGGUAAAGCCCCUGCUUGAAACCCUAGAGAGCUGCUGCCGAUCAGUGUAGACCGUACUGAGCUAGAUAAACCAAUGAUCUGACUGGGCAGAAGGCAUCUUCCAAUGAAUGAGCCAGGCAGGCCACAUCUCCUUGGGGUGAAUCUGGGGAGGAGGGAGCCAUGGGCGUCUCAGAUCUGGAACUGCCUCCCUGCCUUUUGGGGUCCCCCUUCCCCGGCUGGGCUCCUCUCCUCCUGGGCACUUCCAAAGCCCACUCCUCAGCCUCCCAUUAUUUCCUUCCCUGGGACACCCAGCCGCUCAAAGACCUCCAUCCACCCUUCUCCUUGGCUGGAUGAUGGAUCUAAAGGGAUUCUCCAUGCUCGUCCCUCCCCAAUCCGGGGCUGUCUCCCUUCUCUUGCUCCUGCCCCGCCUCCCUGCCUUGCUUGUCUCCCACCCCCACCCAAGGGCGCCCUGAAGUCACCGGAGGGUCACCCGCUAGACUUCGCGCUGCACGCCAACCAAGAGUGGGAGUGGGUGGGCACGAAGUGGUGCCCCCAAUACCCUCUCCUGCCUCUCUGGGAAUCCGGCCUCUCCUUCAUUUUAACCCUUGGAAGGCUGAACAUCCUUAACCAGGAGCAA